rnacentral:rRNA from 1 species
GACGAACCGUGCGAACGUUGUUCGGAAUCAUUGGGCUUAAAGGGCGCGUAGGCGGGCGGGCAAGUCAGGGGUGAAAUCCCACGGCUCAACCGUGGAAGUGCCCUUGAUACUGCCGGUCUCGAGGGGGGUAGGGGCGUGCGGAACUUCCGGUGGAGCGGUGAAAUGCGUAGAUAUCGGAAGGAACACCGGUGGCGAAAGCGGCGCGCUGGACCCCCACUGACGCUGAGGCGCGAAAGCCAGGGGAGCAAACGGG